CAAAAUAUAUGGCUCUAAUGGCGUUCCAUACAAAAAAUAUUUUGACAAACUGACGGAGUGAAAUCAAAAAUCGCAAAUUAAGAAGCUCAAAUUGACUGAGAAUUGUGUAUAAUAAAUGCAGGAAUAAAAAUAACUAUCAAAUAAACAUCGAAAUUCUUAAUUAUACCCCGAAGGGUAUAAUGUUUUUGACCCGUCCGUCCGUCAGUCCGUCAGUCCUGUUUCUUGUCAUCGCAACUCCUCUCAAACCACACAACAGAAUUUCACGAAACCUUUUCAGAUAAUAAGGACAUACUAUGUAGUUGUGCAUAUCGACGGGAAAUUGCAAUUCAAUUUUUUUUCUAGGAGUUACGCCCUUUUGAACUUAUUUACUUUAAUGUAUUACUGCAACAGUUUGUCAUCGCAACUCCUCUCAAACCACACAACAGAAUUUCACGAAACCUUUUCAGAUAAUAAGGACAUACUAUGUAGUUGUGCAUAUCGACGGGAAAUUGCGAUUCAAUUUUUUUUCUAGGAGUUACGCCCCUUUGAACUUAUUUACUUUAAUGUACUACUGCAACAGUUUGUCAUCGCAACUCCUCUCAAACCACACAACAG
rnacentral:lncRNA from 1 species